AUUGAACGCUGGCGGCAGGCCUAACACAUGCAAGUCGAGCGGAGUGGCGGACGGGCGAGUAAUGCCUAGGAAUCUGCCUGGUAGUGGGGGAUAACGUCCGGAAAGGGGCGCUAAUACCGCAUACUAUCAGAUGACCCUAGGUCGGAUUAGCUAGUUGGAGGGGUACAGGCGUACCAAGGCGACGAUCCGUAACUGGUCUGAGAGGAUGAUCAGUCACACUGGAACUGGGACACGGUCCAGACUCCUACGGGAGGCAGCAGUGGGGAAUAUUGGACAAUGGGCGAAAGCCUGAUCCAGCCAUGCCGCGUGUGUGAAGAAGGUCUUCGGAUGGUAAAGCACUUUAAGUUGGGAGGCGUUACCAACAGAGUAAGCACCGGCUAACUUCGUGCCAGCCGCCGCGGUAAUUC
rnacentral:rRNA from 1 species